rnacentral:rRNA from 1 species
CGCGUAGGUGGUUUGUUAAGUUGGAUGUGAAAGCCCCGGGCUCAACCUGGGAACUGCAUCCAAAACUGGCAAGCUAGAGUAUGGCAGAGGGUGGUGGAAUUUCCUGUGUAGCGGUGAAAUGCGUAGAUAUAGGAAGGAACACCAGUGGCGAAGGCGACCACCUGGGCUAAUACUGACACUGAGGUGCGAAAGCGUGGGGAGCGAACAGGAUUAGAUACCCUGGUAGUCC